UACAGAGGGGCAAGCGUUGUUCGGAAUUACUGGGCGUAAAGGCGCGUAGGCGGCCCGCUAAGUCGAACGUGAAAUCCCCGGGCUCAACCCGGGAACUGCGUCCGAUACUGGUGGGCUUGAAUCCGGGAGAGGGAUGCGGAAUUCCAGGUGUAGCGGUGAAAUGCGUAGAUAUCUGGAGGAACACCGGUGGCGAAGGCGGCAUCCUGGACCGGCAUUGACGCUGAGGCGCGAAAGCUAGGGAGCAAACGGG
rnacentral:rRNA from 1 species